UUUUGGACAAUGGGCGCAAGCCUGAUCCAGCCAUUCCGCGUGAGUGAAGAAGGCCUUCGGGUUGUAAAGCUCUUUCGCAAGGGAAGAAAACUUACUUUCUAAUAAAGAGUGAGGUUGACGGUACCUUGAUAAGAAGCACCGGCUAACUGCGUGCCAGCAGCCGCGGUAAUACGUAGGAUGCGAGCGUUAAUCGGAAUUACUGGGCGUAAAGCGUGCGCAGGCGGCUUUGUAAGUCAGAUGUGAAAUCCCCGAGCUCAACUUGGGAACUGCGUUUGAAACUACAAGGCUAGAAUAUGUCAGAGGGGGGUAGAAUUCCACGUGUAGCAGUGAAAUGCGUAGAGAUGUGGAGGAAUACCAAUGGCGAAGGCAGCCCCCUGGGAAUAAUAUUGACGCUCAUGCACGAA
rnacentral:rRNA from 1 species